rnacentral:rRNA from 1 species
UACAGAGGUCUCGAGCGUUGUUCGGAUUCAUUGGGCGUAAAGGGCGCGUAGGCGGCGGGGUAAGUCUGGUGUGAAAUCUCGGAGCUCAACUCCGAAAUUGCACUGGAUACUGCUCUGCUAGAGGGCUGGAGAGGAGAUCGGAAUUCACGGUGUAGCAGUGAAAUGCGUAGAUAUCGUGAGGAAGACCAGUGGCGAAGGCGGAUCUCUGGACAGCUACUGACGCUGAGGCGCGAAGGCUAGGGGAGCAAACGGG